UAGGGAAUCUUCGGCAAUGGACGAAAGUCUGACCGAGCAACGCCGCGUGAGUGAAGAAGGUUUUCGGAUCGUAAAAACUCUGUUGUUAGAGAAGAACAAGGGUGAGAGUAACUGUUCACCCCUUGACGGUAUCUAACCAGAAAGCCACGGCUAACUACGUGCCAG
rnacentral:rRNA from 1 species